GAUGAACGCUGGCGGCGUGCCUAAUACAUGCAAGUCGAGCGAACAGACGAGGAGCUUGCUCCUCUGACGUUAGCGGCGGACGGGUGAGUAACACGUGGAUAACCUACCUAUAAGACUGGGAUAACUUCGGGAAACCGGAGCUAAUACCGGAUAAUAUAUUGAACCGCAUGGUUCAAUAGUGAAAGACGGUUUUGCUGUCACUUAUAGAUGGAUCCGCGCCGCAUUAGCUAGUUGGUAAGGUAACGGCUUACCAAGGCAACGAUGCGUAGCCGACCUGAGAGGGUGAUCGGCCACACUUGAACUGGGACACGGUCCAGACUCCUACGGGAGGCAGCAGUAGGGAAUCUUCCGCAAUGGGCGAAAGCCUGACGGAGCAACGCCGCGUGAGUGAUGAAGGUCUUCGGAUCGUAAAACUCUGUUAUUAGGGAAGAACAAAUGUGUAAGUAACUAUGCACGUCUUGACGGUACCUAAUCAGAAAGCCACGGCUAACUACGUG
rnacentral:rRNA from 1 species